rnacentral:sRNA from 1 species
UGAUAUCCCAGGGUUCAAAGUUCGAAAGCUGUUCGUGCUUGCACGAUAAAGCGUUCGAAUUUGGAACCCGCCAAACAUGAGGAAGCAGCGCCAGCGGAUUCCGAAUGUUUGCAGAAUUGCGGAGCAAUUCGUGAAUAUCC